UAGGCUAUCCACCUACCACAGAAAGC
rnacentral:piRNA from 1 species